CAUGCAAGUCGAGCGAUGAACCUUUCAUGAAUUUUUCGGAAUGUUUGGUGAAGCAACUUGCCUAGUGGCGGACGGGUGAGUAACGCGUGAACAAUCUGCCCUGUACAAAGGAAUAGCCUCGGGAAACCGGGAUUAAAACCGUAUGACACUUUUUUGCCGCAUGGUAGUAAAGUCAAAUAUUUCAUAGGUGUGGGAUGAGUUCGCGUCUGAUUAGCUGGUUGGUAAGGUAACGGCUUACCAAGGCAACGAUCAGUAGCCGGCCUGAGAGGGUGGACGGCCACACUGGAACUGAGACACGGUCCAGACUCCUACGGGAGGCAGCAGUGGGGAAUAUUGCACAAUGGAGGGAACUCUGAUGCAGCGACGCCGCGUGAGUGAAGAAGGUCUUCGGAUCGUAAAACUCUGUCCUUGGUGAAGAAAAGGACGGUAGCCAAGGAGGAAGCCCCGGCUAACUACGUGCCAGCCGCCGCAGUAACAC
rnacentral:rRNA from 1 species